CCUACGGGUGGCAGCAGUCGAGAAUCAUUCACAAUGGGGGAGACCCUGAUGGUGCGACGCCGCGUGGGGGAAUGAAGGUCUUCGGAUUGUAAACCCCUGUCAUGUGGGAGCAAAUUAAAAAGAUAGUACCACAAGAGGAAGAGACGGCUAACUCUGUGCCAGCAGCCGCGGUAAUGCAGAGGUCUCAAGCGUUGUUCGGAACCACUGGGCGUAAAGCGUGCGGAGGCUGUUUCGUAAGUCGGGUGUGAAAGGCGCGGGCUCAACCCGCGGACGGCACAUGAUACUGCGAGACUAGAGUAAUGGAGGGGGAACCGGAAUUCUCGGUGUAGCAGUGAAAUGCGUAGAUAUCGAGAGGAACACUCGUGGCGAAGGCGGGUUCCUGGACAUUAACUGACGCUGAGGCACGAAGGCCAGGGGAGCAAACAGGAUUAGAUACCCGAGUAGUC
rnacentral:rRNA from 1 species